AGACGUCUACAUUAGAUACCCGGGUAGUCCCAGCCGUAAACUAUGCGCGUUAGGUGUAUCGGUGACCACGAGUCACCGAGGUGCCGAAGGGAAACCGUGAAACGUGCCGCCUGGGAAGUACGGUCGCAAGGCUGAAACUUAAAGGAAUUGGCGGGAGCACCACAACGGGUGGAGCCUGCGGUUUAAUUGGACUCAACGCCGGGAAGCUCACCGGAUAAGACAGCGGAAUGAUUGCCGGGCUGAAGACUCUGCAUGACUAGCUG
rnacentral:rRNA from 1 species